rnacentral:rRNA from 1 species
GAAGGGCCCGAGCGUAAUCAGAAUCACGGGCUUAAGCGGCGCAGGCGGAACGUCAGUGUCUUGUGAAAUCCCACGGCUCAACCGUGGAAUUGCAGGGCAUACUGCGUUUCUUGAGGUCGUUAGAGGUCGCCGGAACUCUAGGUGUAGCGGUGAAAUGCAUAGAUAUCUAGAGGAACGCCGAAGGUGAAGACAGGCGACUGGGCCGAUUCUGACGCUCAGGCACGAAAGCGUGGGGAGCAAACAGGAUUAGAUACCCUGGUAGUCCACGCCGUAAACGUUGUGCACUAGAUCCUGGAGGUACUGACACCGUCGGGGUCGAAGAUAACUUGCUAAGUGCACCGCCUGGGGAGUACGCUCGCAAGGCUAAAACUCAAAGGUAUUGACGGGGGCUCACACAAGCGGUGGAGCAUGUGGCUUAAUUCGAGGCAACGCGAAGAACCUUACCUGGGUUUGACAUGCUUGGAUUAGCCUGUCGAAAGACAGGUGACGCUAAUUCUAGUGGAACUUGCACAGCUGCUGCAUGGCUCUCGUCAGCUCGUGCUGUGAAGUGUCGGGUUAAGUCCCUUAACGAGCGUAACCCCUGCCGCUAGUUGCCAUCAGGUCAUAGCUGAGCACUCUAGCGGGACUGCCGGUGUCACACCGGAGGAAGGUGGGGAUGACGUCAGGUCAUCAUGGCCUUUAUGCCCAGGGAUGCACACGUGCUACAAUGGUAGGUACAACGCGACGCGAUGCCGCGAGGCGGAGCAAAUCGCAAAUAACCUGCCGCAGUUCGGAUCGCAGUCUGCAACUCGACUGCGUGAAGUUGGAAUCGCUAGUAAUCGCGUCUCAGCUAUGACGCGGUGAAUACGUUCCUGAGCCUUGUACACACCGCCCGUCAAGUCAUGGAAGCCGGGAG